rnacentral:rRNA from 1 species
AACGAACGCUGGCGGCAUGCCUAACACAUGCAAGUCGAACGAGACCUUCGGGCCUAGUGGCGCAAGGGUGCGUAACGCGUGGGAACCUGCCCUUAGGUUCGGAAUAACACCCCGAAAGGGGUCCUAAUACCGGAUACUGUUAUCGGACAAAAGAUUUAUCGCCUUUGGAUGGGCCCGCGUUGGAUUACUUAGUUGGUAGGGUAAAAGCCCACCAAGGCGACGAUGCAGAGCUGGUCUGAGAGGAUGAUCAGCCACACUGGGACUGCGACACGGCCCAGACUCCUACGGGAGGCAGCAGAGGGGAAUAUUAGACAAGGGGCGAAAGCCUAGUCCAGCAAUGCCGCGUGAGUGAUGAAGGCCUUAGGGUUGUAAAGCUCUUUUACCCGGGAUGAUAGUGACAGUACCGGGAGAAGAAGCUCCGGCUAACUCCGUG